rnacentral:rRNA from 1 species
UGUAGUCAUAUGCUUGUCUCAAAGAUUAAGCCAUGCAUGUCUAAGUAUAAGCAAUCAUACUGUGAAACUGCGAAUGGCUCAUUAAAUCAGUUAUCGUUUAUUUGAUAGUACCUUUACCUGGAUAACCGUGGUAAUUCUAGAGCUAAUACAUGCUAAAAACCUCGACUUCGGAAGGGGUGUAUUUAUUAGAUAAAAAACCAAUGCCCUUCGGGGCUCCUUGGUGAUUCAUAAUAACUUAACGAAUCGCAUGGCCUUGCGCCGGCGAUGGUUCAUUCAAAUUUCUGCCCUAUCAACUUUCGAUGGUAAGAUAGUGGCUUACCAUGGUCUCAACGGGUAACGGGGAAU